rnacentral:rRNA from 1 species
AGUUCGAUUAUGGCUCAGAUUGAACGCUGGCGGGAUGCUUUACACAUGCAAGUCGAACGGCAGCACGGACUUCGGUCUGGUGGCGAGUGGCGAACGGUGAGUAAUGUAUCGGAACGUGCCUAGUAGCGGGGGAUAACUACGCUGGCCCGUAGCUAAUACCGCAUACGCCCUUCGGGGGAAAGCGGGGGACCUUCGGGCCUCGCACUAUUAGAGCAGCCGAUAUCGGAUUAGCUAGUUGGUGGGGGUAACGGCUCACCAAGGCGACGAUCCGUAGCUGGUUUUGAGAGGACGACCAGCCACACUGGGGACUGAGACACGGCCCAGACUCCUACGGGAGGCAGCAGUGGGAAUUUUGGACAAUGGGGGAAACCUGAUCCAGCCAUCCCGCGUGUGCGAUGAAGGCCUUCGGGUUGUAAGCACUUUUUGGCAGGAAAGAAACGGCGGGAUAAUACCCCGUGCAACUGACGGUACCUGCAGAAUAAGCACCGGCUAACUACGUGCCAGCAGCCGCGGUAAUACGUAGGGUGCAAGCGUUAAUCGGAAUUACUGGGCGUAAAGCGUGCGCAGGCGGUUCGGAAAGAAAGAUGUGAAAUCCAGAGCUUAACUUUGGAACUGCAUUUUAACUACCGAGCUAGAGUGUGUCAGAGGGAGGUGGAAUUCCGCGUGUAGCAGUGAAAUGCGUAGAUAUGCGGAGGAACACCGAUGGCGAAGGCAGCCUCCUGGGAUAACACUGACGCUCAUGCACGAAAGCGUGGGGGCAAACAGGAUUAGAUACCCUGGUAGUCCACGCCCUAAACGAUGUCAACUAGCUGUUGGGGCCUUCGGGCCUUGGUAGCGCAGCUAACGCGUGAAGUUGACCGCCUGGGAGUACGGUCGCAAGAUUAAAACUCAAAGGAAUUGACGGGGACCCGCACAAGCGGUGGAUGAUGUGGAUUAAUUCGAUGCAACGCGAAAAACCUUACCUACACUUGACAUGUCUGGAAUCCCGAAGAGAUUUGGGAGUGCUCGCAAGAGAACCGGAACACAGGUGCUGCAUGGCUGUCGUCAGCUCGUGUCGUGAGAUGUUGGGUUAAGUCCCGCAACGAGCGCAACCCUUGUCAUUAGUUGCUACGAAGGGCACUCAAUGAGACUGCCGGUGACAAAGACCGGAGGAAGGUGGGGAUGACGUCAAGUCCUCAUGGCCCUUAUGGGUAGGGCUUCACACGUCAUACAAUGGUCGGGACAGAGGGUCGCCAACCCGCGAGGGGGAGCCAAUCCCAGAAACCCGAUCGUAGUCCGGAUCACCGUCUGCAACUCGACUGCGUGAAGUCGGAAUCGCUAGUAAUCGCGGAUCAGCAUGUCGCGGUGAAUACGUUCCGGGUCUUGUACACACCGCCCGUCACACCAUGGGAGUGGGUUUUACCAGAAGUAGUUAGCCUAACCGUAAGGAGGGCGAUUACCACGGUAGGAUUCAUGACUGGGGUGAAGUCGUAACAAGGCCAA